UCAGUAUCGUUCUCUCGUUCGUCAUAUUUCUAAUAAAAUGUACUAAAUUUAUUGGAACAACAUUUCCCAAGAUCAAGCAUGUACAUACUUUGAAGUAAACUACAUGGAUAUUUGUUAUUGUGGUCAUGUUGUGGUGUCAACCGAGUCGACAGAGUGCAAGUCAUUGAUAAGGCAAAAUCAUAUUUGGAAUAAUUUCAAAUCAUUCAGGAGUAAAAGCUAGUAGCCAAGACAAACAUCUUCCACCACUAGAUAUAACAUGAACGCUUUAGAUUCAUGACUAUACUACAUCAGUAGUAGAACAAUCUCUACAAUGAGUUCAUGUAUUGGUACUUUACUGCUAAUGGCAAUUUGUUUCAUGUCUAAUAGUUGUGGAACAAUGUUACAAUUUUUCUCACUACCGUGACUUGCCAAUGCCUACGUGGACGAAGGAUCAUGCGCUUUGUAAGUGUCGCAGCAAGUUGUACCACAUUCCUAGAGUGAUCAUUAUGUUUCCCGACUACCUCAAAUACAUGGAUAACCUAAAUAAAUUUCAAGCGCAUUCUAAUCUGGCCAGGUUUCCAUGAUGGAUUAGGGGGCAAUAGGACCCAUACCUUCAAGGAUUUCNN
rnacentral:lncRNA from 1 species